ACGGGAGGCAGCAGUGGGGAAUAUUGGGCAAUGGACGCAAGUCUGACCCAGCAACGCCGCGUGAAGGAAGAAGGUCUUCGGAUUGUAAACUUUUGUCUUAUGGGACGAUAAUGACGGUACCAUAGGAGGAAGCCACGACUAACUACGUGCCAGCAGUCGCGGUAAUACGUAGGUGGCGAGCGUUAUCCGGAAUCAUUGGGUGUAAAGGGUGCGUAGGCGGGAUGUAAAGUCAGAUGUGAAAUACCGUGGCUCAACUGCGGGGCUGCAUUUGAAACUUACGUUCUUGAGUGAAGUAGAGGUAAGUGGAAUUCCUAGUGUAGCGGUGAAAUGCGUAGAUAUUAGGAGGAACACCGGUGGCGAAGGCGGCUUACUGGGCUUUUACUGACGCUGAGGCACGAAAGUGUGGGUAGCAAACAGGAUUAGAUACCCUGGUA
rnacentral:rRNA from 1 species